rnacentral:rRNA from 1 species
AUGACUCGGUGUUCAGCUGUUCACGGUAUUGCCUACCUUGGCCAGGGUGUUGGCCGAGAGCGGCGCGAUGAGCAUGGCGUCGGCCCACUUGCGCAGCUCGAUGUGCAGGACCUCGUCGCCGAUCCUCCGCCAGGUGGACCACUCGUCGGCGUCGGUGAGGAGGGCGACGCCGCUCGGGAAGGACUCCCUGUCGAUGAAGUGCAGGGACGAGGCCGUCGCCACCGCCCGGACGUCGGCCCACUCGGCGAGGCUCCGGCAGAGGAUCUCGAACUUGAUCGCCGCCACGCUGCCGGAGGCGGCGACCAGGACGCGGGGCCUCCGAGGCCGGGCGGCGCCGGCGCCCGGCGACGGCUGCUCUUGCGUGGCCAUUGCACUUGUGAAUUACGAUGGCUCUACGUGUUGGAAAUGAAAAGGCAACUCUCUGAAAUCACUGAAGGGAGAUGGGAAGUAAUUGCGGCACUCACACCUCUAGAUCGCAAACUCAGCAGGAGGGGGACAAGAAAGGCCGGUGUUAGCUGGAGAAACAAACAGCAGUAA